AUACGGAGGGUGCAAGCGUUACUCGGAAUCACUGGGCGUAAAGCGCGCGCAGGCGGCUAUUUAAGUUGGAUGUGAAAGCCUACGGCUCAACCGUAGAACUGCAUCCAAAACUAUUUAGCUAGAGUGUGGGAGAGGAAGAUGGAAUUAGUUGUGUAGGGGUAAAAUCCGUAGAGAUAACUAGGAAUACCAAAAGCGAAGGCAAUCUUCUGGAACACUACUGACGCUGAGGCGCGAAAGCGUGGGGAGCACACAGGAUUAGAAACCCUAGUAGUCC
rnacentral:rRNA from 1 species